rnacentral:rRNA from 1 species
UGGCAGACGGGUGAGUAACACGUGGUCAACCUUCCCUUUAGUGGGGGAUAACUAGCCGAAAGGUUAGCUAAUACCGCAUACGAUCUGCACCCGACAUCGGGAGUAGAUGAAAGGAGCAAUCCGCUUAAGGACGGGACCGCGCCCAUUAGUUAGUUGGUGGGGUAAUGGCCUACCAAGACUCCGAUGGGUAGCUGGUUUGAGAGAGCGACCAGCCACACUGGGACUGAGAAACGGCCCAG